UAGCGCCUCGUGAAUUCAUCUCCGGGGGUAGAGCACUGUUUCGGCUAGGGGGCCAUCCCGGCUUACCAACCCGAUGCAAACUGCGAAUACCGGAGAAUGUUAUCACGGGAGACACACGGCGGGUGCUAACGUCCGUCGUGAAGAGGGAAACAACCCAGACCGCCAGCUAAGGUCCCAAAGUCAUGGUUAAGUGGGAAACGAUGUGGGAAGGCCCAGACAGCCAGGAUGUUGGCUUAGAAGCAGCCAUCAUUUAAAGAAAGCGUAAUAGCUCACUGGUCGAGUCGGCCUGCGCGGAAGAUGUAACGGGGCUAAACCAUGCACCGAAGCUGCGGCAGCGACGCUGAUGCGUUGUUGGGUAGGGGAGCGUUCUGUAAGCCUGCGAAGGUGGCCUGUGAGGGUUGCUGGAGGUAUCAGAAGUGCGAAUGCUGACAUAAGUAACGAUAAAGCGGGUGAAAAGCCCGCUCGCCGGAAGACCAAGGGUUCCUGUCCAACGUUAAUCGGGGCAGGGUGAGUCGACCCCUAAGGCGAGGCCGAAAGGCGUAGUCGAUGGGAAACGGGUUAAUAUUCCCGUACUUGGUGUUACUGCGAAGGGGGGACGGAGAAGGCUAUGUUGGCCGGGCGACGGUUGUCCCGGUUUAAGCGUGUAGGUGUGUGUUCCAGGUAAAUCCGGUUCACUUUAACACUGAGGCGUGAUGACGAGGCACUACGGUGCUGAAGCAACAAAUGCCCUGCUUCCAGGAAAAGCCUCUAAGCAUCAGGUAACAUCAAAUCGUACCCCAAACCGACACAGGUGGUCAGGUAGAGAAUACCAAGGCGCUUGAGAGAACUCGGGUGAAGGAACUAGGCAAAAUGGUGCCGUAACUUCGGGAGAAGGCACGCUGACACGUAGGUGAAGUGAUUUACUCAUGGAGCUGAAGUCAGUCGAAGAUACCAGCUGGCUGCAACUGUUUAUUAAAAACACAGCACUGUGCAAACACGAAAGUGGACGUAUACGGUGUGACGCCUGCCCGGUGCCGGAAGGUUAAUUGAUGGGGUCAGCGCAAGCGAAGCUCCUGAUCGAAGCCCCGGUAAACGGCGGCCGUAACUAUAACGGUCCUAAGGUAGCGAAAUUCCUUGUCGGGUAAGUUCCGACCUGCACGAAUGGCGUAAUGAUGGCCAGGCUGUCUCCACCCGAGACUCAGUGAAAUUGAACUCGCUGUGAAGAUGCAGUGUACCCGCGGCAAGACGGAAAGACCCCGUGAACCUUUACUAUAGCUUGACACUGAACAUUGAGCCUUGAUGUGUAGGAUAGGUGGGAGGCUUUGAAGUGUGGACGCCAGUCUGCAUGGAGCCGACCUUGAAAUACCACCCUUUAAUGUUUGAUGUUCUAACGUGGACCCGUGAUCCGGGUUGCGGACAGUGUCUGGUGGGUAGUUUGACUGGGGCGGUCUCCUCCUAAAGAGUAACGGAGGAGCACGAAGGUUGGCUAAUCCUGGUCGGACAUCAGGAGGUUAGUGCAAUGGCAUAAGCCAGCUUGACUGCGAGCGUGACGGCGCGAGCAGGUGCGAAAGCAGGUCAUAGUGAUCCGGUGGUUCUGAAUGGAAGGGCCAUCGCUCAACGGAUAAAAGGUACUCCGGGGAUAACAGGCUGAUACCGCCCAAGAGUUCAUAUCGACGGCGGUGUUUGGCACCUCGAUGUCGGCUCAUCACAUCCUGGGGCUGAAGUAGGUCCCAAGGGUAUGGCUGUUCGCCAUUUAAAGUGGUACGCGAGCUGGGUUUAGAACGUCGUGAGACAGUUCGGUCCCUAUCUGCCGUGGGCGCUGGAGAACUGAGGGGGGCUGCUCCUAGUACGAGAGGACCGGAGUGGACGCAUCACUGGUGUUCGGGUUGUCAUGCCAAUGGCACUGCCCGGUAGCUAAAUGCGGAAGAGAUAAGUGCUGAAAGCAUCUAAGCACGAAACUUGCCCCGA
rnacentral:rRNA from 1 species